rnacentral:rRNA from 1 species
GACGAACGCUGGCGGCGUGCUUAACACAUGCAAGUCGAACGGCAAGGCCCUGCUUUUGUGGGGUGCUCUAGUGGCGAACGGGCGAGUAACACGUGAGUAACCUGCCCUUUACUUUGGGAUAACUUGAGGAAAAUGGGGCUAAUACUAGCUAGGAGCUCCUGCUGCAUGGUGGGGGUUGGAUAGUUUCGGCGGUUGGGGUUGGACUUGCGGCUUAUCAGCUUGUUGGUGGUGUAGUGGCUUACCAAGGCUUUGACGGGUAGCCGUCCUGAGAGGGGGACCGGGCACAUGGGUACUGAGGGAGGGACCAGACGCGUACGGGAGACAACAGGGGAGAAUAUGACACAGUGGGCGGAAGCGUGAUGAAGCAACGUCGGGGGUGGAAAGACGGUCAUUUGGUUGGAAACCGCGUUCGCCUAAUACGAAGCGUGAGUGACGGUAAUGAGAAAAGAAGCACCGGCUAACUAUGUG